GGGGCUGUAGCUCAGUGGUAGAGCACCCACCUCGCACACGUGAGGCAUUAGGUUCGAUCUUCAGCACCA
rnacentral:tRNA from 1 species